UUUGUGUGUGUGCACAAAUAUAUAUAUGUAUAUAGUAAGUAUUAGUUUUUUUAUGGACUCAUACUAUGUCAUUAUGCAAUUUGUCAUUCUUACUAGUAUAUUACAGGCAUCUUACCAUACUAGUUGAUGAGGAAGUAUUUUAUUUAUUUUAACAGCAGCAUGGCUGAUUAAAGUUUUUCAAGUUUGUUUAAUCUCUAAAUACAGAGGUUUAAUCAUUAAAUAAAAUUAGUUCUCUCCAAAAUUGUUACAACUUUAGCUUGUCAGGCCAGUUUUGGCUCCAUCAAAAUUAAAAGUGAUUCUAUUAUUCUGAUAGGCCUGUCUUACCUUUAUGCUUUUUACAUCAUUCCGAAAUCCUGGUGUACCAUACCACUGAGAAAAAAAGAGAUCUGUAGUAGCUUUGUAUAAUAAAAGAGCUCCAAGUCAAAUUGGUCUAAAGCCUGAAUGCAUUUUUUCACCCUAUUUUUUAUCCUUUGUAUAGACCUCCAUCUUUCUUUGUGACUUUAAGGUUGUUCCUUGAGUGUAUUGGUUCUUUAACUGAUUUUCUUAGUAAUAUUGGUGGUUUAAAUUCUAAAAUAGUCAAUUUAUCUUGCUGAGCAAAAUGUUUUAAAAUAUUUUAAAAGUAACAUUUCAAUUGUAUGAGGAAAUAGAAAUGAAUGUAAUCAUUGCUGAAAUUGUACAUAUAUCUGUAGUUAUAAACAUAUUAUAAAUGUUGCAUGAUCAAAUUCAUGAUGCGACCACUGAGGUACUUAUUGAAAGUAUUGAUUCUUCGAGAACUUGACUUUGACACAAAAGUCAGCACAUCUGUUUAAUUACUGAUAAAGGAUUUUUCUGAUUUCAUGCCAAAACUAACACCUGGUGGCUAGAUUUAGUUUAGACACUUUGGAUGAAUAAAAAAUACUGGAUAAUUUCUAUUAUUAGAUUUGAUUAUCAAGCUUUUUUCUAGAGUUUAGGCAUGUUUCUUCUCCUUGUCAAAACCACUAAUAAAAAAAAUAACAGGCAACCCAGAAGUAAGAGAAUCUAAGAAAUAUUGAGAUCCCAGGGAUAAGUUAAUUUAGAGGUAGUGGAGUACACACACUCUAUUCCUCCUCGUAUUGUGUUAUAUUCAGUGUUUGGCUGACAAUAGCCUCAGACUUGGUUAAAGUAGGGAGAAUAAUUGCCCGGUUGUAAAUUUUUGUUUUGGUAUGAAAUGAAAUCAUGUUUUUGAAGGAAGCCCUAUAUAGAUUGUAAAAUGUUAAAUAAUUUAUAGUAUUGUAAUCAUUACUUCAAAUUUAGAAUUAUGCAUACAGCACUUUGCAACAGAAAACUGAUAGUUUAAAAAAUUUUUGUAUCUUGUAAUCUGUAGAAUACCCAUCCUACCCUAUAUAUUUGGAAUUGUUAUUUACAUAUUAUGGAUAGAAAACAUUAGGUUUACAAACAUUAAUUAAAAUCAGGGAGUAAGUGAUAGCAAAACCAAAAUUUAAAUUUAGAGACUCUUUAUUUUUCAGUUCAGUGAUUUAUGCUGCCUUUGAAAUACAGUGUCAGACUCUCAGGUUAUAUAGAAAUAACUUAAAAUGUAGACAGCUUAAUUGUUCAAUUUAUACAAGAAAGGAAAAAUCAUCCAUAGAAUGACUCUUACCUGCCACCCCCAACAUAGUAGAUAAUAAGUAAUAAAAAACUAUCAAAAGAUCGCUGUGAUAGGAAUGUGAGCAACACUGGAAUGUAGACAUCUAUAGGUAAAGAGUAUGAUUCCAUUGUAUACAUUUUGAAACUGAGGUACAGUGUGUUUAAGUAACCAAGGUCACAUAUUUGAGACUCAAACUCAGAUUCAGUUAUUUAGCUUUAAAAAUCUCUCUUCCUCUUAUACACAUUACUUUCUAUUAUGUAAGCACAUUAUAUUUAAAGGAUCAGCUAGGAUUCAGGUACAUCUAAUUAUCCUUUCAGGUGGGGUUAGUAACCCUAGGGCAUUGUUUUUGUCAUCUAUAAUAAUAUUCUGCAAUAUGUACCAUAUUUUGCUGUAUAUAAUGCAUACUUUUUGCCCAAAUUUUUGAGGGAAAAACGAGAAUGCGCAUUAUACAUGGGUAGUACUUAAAAUACCUUGUACCUGUUCCUGUGUUUUGUAAUUAAUUGUUACAUAAAAUUUCUUGUACCAUAGUAUGUUCAAAAAUAAAUGCUAAAAUUCCUCUAUAAUACAAAAAACAGUAUCUAAAUAUAAAUAAA